rnacentral:rRNA from 1 species
UGGGGAAUAUUGGGCAAUGGGCGAAAGCCUGACCCAGCAACGCCGCGUGAAGGAAGAAGGUCUUUGGAUUGUAAACUUUUGUCCUAUGGGAAGAAGGAAGUGACGGUACCAUGGGAGGAAGCCCCGGCUAACUACGUGCCAGCAGCCGCGGUAAUACGUAGGGGGGCGAGCGUUGUCCGGAAUUACUGGGCGUAAAGGGCGCGCAGGCGGCCGAUCAAGUUAGAUGUGAAAUACCUGGGCUUAACCUGGGAACUGCAUUUAAAACUGGUUGGCUAGGAGUGCAGGAGAGGGAAGCGGAAUUCCUAGUGUAGCGGUGAAAUGCGUAGAUAUUAGGAGGAACACCAGUGGCGAAGGCGGCUUUCUGGACUGUAACUGACGCUGAGGCGCGAAAGCGUGGGGAGCGAACAGGAUUAGAUACC